rnacentral:lncRNA from 1 species
GCCUCCUUAAUAAAAAAUGAAUACAAGUACUUAAGCAAAACAACAAAUAAAAUACAAAACAGGAAGAACAACAAUAAACAAAUGUAGAAAAUAGAACAAUUAUUUAUUACUAAUUAAGUUCUUCGGCGUGUAAUUUAUUUAGAUGUUUUUUGCUAUAUAUUAUAGAUAAAAAUCUUACUUUUCCUUCGUAAUUCCACUGUUUGCUAACGUUAGAUUCGUUUAAGUCUGAAAAAAAUAAUUUUCAAAAUUGUUGAUAAAUAAUUUGAAAUUUGAAAUUGUGUUUGUACAUACAUUUUAGUUGAUUUUUUUUAAAAAAGUUUUGUGAGAGGAAGUGAAAUUUCUCUUUAAUUUUAUUUAUUUGUGGAUUCAUAUUUACAUGAUAUAAAAAUAAUUAUUUAUUUUGCUAUGCCAAUACUUUUUUGAAUGAUAAAUUUGAUUGAGUGAUUUUAUUGAUAGAA